rnacentral:lncRNA from 1 species
UUUUCUUCAACCAUUCAAAAUGUUUUGAUAUUUUAUUUUAACAGAUCAAAAACAAAAUCAAUUUUGAUUGAUUUUGUUUACAUAUUCACACACCUUCAAAGUUAUUUAGAAGAAAAGAAAGAAAAAAAAUAAAAUAGAAGAAAGACAUAGAGAAGAAGAAAAGUAAAGAUCACAAUAUAGAGGUAACAUGAAAUUGAAUUCAUAAUAAGAAAAUGGAGGUUGAUGUUGCUAGAAGAAGGAAGAAAAGAAGAAAA